AGUCUGUGAUGAUACCAAUGAAGGCUUGUUUUUCUAAACAUUCGCAAUUGCCGCCUAAGAGCUUUCGCCUUCGCCAAGCUUGAGAGCUAAUGCUGUAUAUAUCCUUCCUUGGAUCUCUGAGACC
rnacentral:snoRNA from 1 species